GAGGUUUUUGGGGUUUGUUUGGGUUUUCAUUGGGGUUUUCGGUUGGUUUUUAUUGGGUUUUUUGGUUGGUUUUUAUUGGGUUUUUGGGUUGGUUUUUAUUCGUUUUUUCGUUGGUUUUUAUUGGGUUUUUGGGGUGGUUUUUGUUGGGUUUUUGGGUUGGUUUUUAUUGGGUUUUUUGGUUGGUUUUUAUUGGGUUUUUGGGUGGUUUUUAUUGGGUUUUUGGGUUGGUUUUUAUUGGGGUUUUUGGGUGGUUUUUAUUGGGUUUUUAGGUUGGUUUUUAUUGGGUUUUUAGGUUGGUUUUUAUUGGUAUUUUUGGUUGGUUUUUAUUGGGUUUUUGGGUUGGUUUUUAUUGGUAUUUUUGGUUUUAAUUUGGUUUUUAUUGU
rnacentral:lncRNA from 1 species